GAGAUGAAACAGGGGUGCUGCGGACGGCGCGAUGCAAGCGACGGGACGCGGCUGAGAGAGUCCCUUGGCACCCGAUCCGGAUAAUACCGGCGAGGGGAGUUUUCCAUCGUACGCC
rnacentral:ncRNA from 2 species